GUGCUUUAUUAUUAUGCUUUUUUAAUCUUUUUUGUAUGAGGACUUCAAAGUUGCAUUUUGCAAGACGAAUAAUCAGAUCCAGGUUUUCAAAGUUAACUCCGACAGCAAAAGAACCCUAAACCUAGAGACCCUGAACAAAGAUGAGAUCAGAUCAUUCUCCUCCGAUCAGGCAGUGUGGGUGCGUGGGUGGACGACUGCCUCCAAAGCUUGCUCACUGAGAUCUGCCUAGUCACGCGCACGAGCACAUCCACAUCCACACGCUGUGCCAUGUGCUGCCGCCGUCA
rnacentral:lncRNA from 1 species